rnacentral:sRNA from 1 species
UCACGUUAAUAUAUUUUUCAACAAUUGC